AAGUCGUAACAAGGUUUCCGUAGGUGAACCUGCGGAAGGAUCAUUAACACGUAUCCAACGUUAAACAACCCUGUGAACUUUCAGCGCUCUUGUAGCCCCAGAGGAACAGCAAUCCCGGUAAAUCAAAUGGCGGGAAAGAGUUUUUGAUUCGGGACCUCUGUCUGCCGGCCGGUGAUCGACCUCUGGCAACCGUGAUGCGUUAUCCUUACUCAGUGGAUCCUUCUGCACUGCUUAGGGAAACCAUGCCACUGCUCUGCUCGAUUGUAACUUGAUACCUUUUGGACAUGUCACAGGGCUUUACGCCCCUUCAUUCACCCCUUGCCUAAUCAAGCCUCGCGGAAACGCCGGGCAUAAAAACCGAACAACUGUUAACAAUGGAUAUCUUGGUUCUC
rnacentral:misc_RNA from 1 species